rnacentral:rRNA from 1 species
UACGUAGGGUGCGAGCGUUGUCCGGAAUUACUGGGCGUAAAGAGCUCGUAGGCGGCUUGUCGCGUUGUUCGUGAAAAUUUACCGCUCAACGGUGAACUUGCGGGCGAUACGGGCAGGCUAGAGUACUGCAGGGGAGACUGGAAUUCCUGGUGUAGCGGUGAAAUGCGCAGAUAUCAGGAGGAACACCGGUGGCGAAGGCGGGUCUCUGGGCCGAUACUGACGCUGAGGAGCGAAAGCGUGGGGAGCGAACAGG